rnacentral:rRNA from 1 species
GGGGGGGGGUGGGGGGGGGGCUGGCAGGUGGAAGUCGGGCGGUGGGGAGAGGGUGGCUUCGCUUGGGGGCGGCGGGCGGGUGAGUGAUGCCUAGGAAUCUGCCUGGUCGUGGGGGAUAACGUUCGGAAACGGCCGCUAAUACCGCAUACGUCCUACGGGAGACAGCAGGGGACCUUCGGUCCUUGCGCUGUCAGGUGAGCCUAGGCCUGAUUAGCUGGGUGGUGGGGUAAUGGCUCACCAAGGCGACGAUCCGUAACUGGUCUGAGAGGAGGAUCAGUCACACUGGAACUGAGACACGGUCCAGACUCCUACGGGAGGCAGCAGUGGGGAAUAUUGGACAAUGGGCGAAAGCCUGAUCCAGCCAUGCCGCGUGUGUGAAGAAGGUCUUCGGAUUGUAAAGCACUUUAAGUUGGGAGGAAGGGCAGUAAAUUAAUACGUUGCUGUUUUGACGUUACCGACAGAAUAAGCACCGGCUAACUCUGUG